AGAGACUUGCAAGGAGAGCUUUUUGAAUUUUUCCAAUAUCUAUGUGGCAGGUAAGGUUAAAUUAAAUUGUAUCUUAAUUUCUUAUUACAUCAUUUCUUGAAUGUUGCUGAGAAUUUCCAUUCUUUGUCUUUACUCUGAGGAAGAUCUCCCAGCCGUGAAUAACACACUGUGAAGCACCUCAGGCAGAUUCCUUAGUGACUGGCAUCGCAUCUGGCCACAGAUGAAGAGUGAAGGACACCAAACAUUAAAACCUCUUUCCCCAGCCUCUGUGCAUUAUUGCUCUUUGCAAUUUGGCUGAGUCUCUCUUUGGCUGUGGUAGAGGGCCAGCAGAGAGCUACUGCUUUCUUUUUCAUCCCUGUUAGCUUCACCUGCUGGAAGAUGGCCACUGAGCAAUUUGACCUUUGCUCGUGGUUCAGGGUUGUAGUCUGUAGCACUACUUAUGCCAGAAGCAAGAAGCAUAGCCUACCUAUCUAUGUUGCAAAAGCAGUUGUGUUUGAAGGCUCAGCCUUUGUUUUUCUUAGUGUUUUGUUAUAUCGCUAUUCCUGUUUGAUUGUCUGUGAAAUGGAUGCACAGGAAGAAACUGCAAGACAUUCAGUCAUUGGAGCAGUCUCUAACCAGUCUUUCUGAGCACUGAUAUAGCUGAACUCUUCCUACAUACUUCUGUCUCACAGAUCCAGAUGUUCUUCUCACUUCUGUUUAGAUUUGUUACCUGAGAAGAAUGACAAAGACUUCCACAGAGCACUUCUUGCUUGAGCUGACAGAUCUUGAGCUACGUGAUGAGAGCUUACAAUGGAAAAAAAAAAAGUCAUUGACUUCCACUGCAUCCACUAGCUUCCAGAAGGCUUGGAAGGGUUCAACCUGGUAUGUCUUACCAGAUAGAGACCCUGGAAGAAAGACUUUUUGUUUCUCCUCUGCUCCCAAACAUGGAAUGGAUUAUUCUGGAGAAAAUUAAUGAAAAUGUUGGAUGGAGGGGAAUUUGAAGCAGAUGCAUAUCUUUCCCUGACCACACUGAAGUGAAAUAGGAAUAGCAGAAAUGGGAAGAGUUGGAAUAAUACAGAAAAAAUUACUGAAUAAUUAUAGAGCCUCUCCUCUAAAUGUGAUGAUAUUCAAGAGGGAACAGUGGGCUUUGAGAGUCUUAUCAGCAGAUUCAUUGAUCUUGCUUUGUACCUUUACCGGGAUCCAUAUUCAAGAGAACUUCAAGAUUGUAUUUAAUACAAGAGUUUUUGAGAAGAACUUGCCUCUGUUCCAGAAUUUCUGGAAGACUAACUUGGAGUUUAAUACAUCUUUUGUCUGCUGAGAUUCUUGUUGGGUGCUGAAGUCUUCACCUCUGUCAGACAAUACUGUCAACAGUGUUUAACCUCUGGCUCCAUGGGAGUACACUGCAGUACUCCUGUUAGCAGAUAUUAGAAUGACAGUUCUUCACAUGGGCAGCUAAGAAGAUCUUGCAUUGUUUCCCUUUCUCCUGCAGAAAGCGGCUGGCAGAGCUCACGCCUUUACUUAAGGGAAGGCUCGGCACAGAAAUGCUCCGAAGACUGGAUGCUGCUCUUCUUGCAAGCUUCCACUUGGGGGCACAGGCGGUUCACUCUUGCAAACCUCUCCGUCGGGCUGCAGGAGGAAGAAAACCUGCUAAGUUUAGUUCAGGCAACUCCUAUAAAGUAGAACCUUAACAAGCACGGAUGUUUCUGGCACCUCUCUACAUGUGGGAUAUGUUGCACCUCCAGAGCAUGCUGUUCUGCCUGACACCUUGGUACCCAGAAGGAAUUACGACUUACAUGGACGUGUAUGCCAAGCUUCAUUUUUUGACUGGUGAGCUGAUGAAUUAUGGCAUGUAUCCACUUUAUAAGAGACAUAGUGCUUGAUAAAUGGGAAGGAAGUCCCUUGAUUUCCUCACUUUGCCCACCAUGAUGCACAAUAAAAAUUACACCCCUUGAACUUUCAUGGACUUAAGUUUGCCUCCAGAAAUCAGAGUGAAGGAACCCCUUGGAAAUGAUCUGCCUCUGGCUGCACAGCCCCAGGGAGUGCAUCUGCUCCCAUUGCAGGCUGGCAGACCCCUAAGAGUGGCUGAGUUACCAUCCUGCAUGUUGGGUAUUCCCCUGGCAUGCACUCAGAAAAUCUGAAGAACUCAAAGAAAAUAAUCCAUGGACUGUGAGCAGUGUGAAGAGGCUUGCCCAGUAAGCCUGGAGCAAGUUUCUACCAUCAAGAUAACCUGUUCAGCCUCCUCUGGUUCCUGAAGUGCCCUUGUGGGAAAGUGCUGCCAGUGUUACUGUUUUCCUGCUGAGACUGAUGGAGUUGGAGACAGCAUCUGUGAAAUGAAAUUACAGCUCUCAAUGCUUUCUACUUCAUCUUGAGGAGAUUUCAAGAGAUACCGUGUAACCACUUUCAGUAAUUUUUAAUCCACUUGCUACUGUGGAAAUUAAUUAAGAGAUUAUGAAAACAGUGGUGUUUAGGGAUGUCAGCUUGAGUCAUGCUUCCAGCAUGAGUUCAUGCUCAGACUACCUAACAAAAGCAAUGAGAUCCACUGUGCCUUCUGAAGCGAAGAACUCAGUAUUAAACAGUUGGAAGGCUUUAAUAAGAGAACAGUAAGUAUGUAAUGGUGAUGUCUUGAGUUUCUGUAUAGGCAACUAAAAUGUCUGGAAUUACCAUUGAGGUGAAUGUGGCAAUUAGAGUUUGGACAACAUUGUUUUGUUUGGAGUCAUCAUGAAAGGAGAGGCAAGUUGCAUCACCUCACUGUUCACAUUUUAUGACACGUAUAAUUCACUUAGGGACCUGGGUUCCAGCUGCUAUGAAAUGUAAAAUAAUCAAAGAGAACCUCUUUCUAAACUGAAGUAGUCCAAGAGAACAGUGUUCUCUAGAGUACCUCACCCACGAAGAGGAGGUUCAGGUUAGUAGGCCAGAAGAGCCUCAAGGUGCUCUGUGGUCCCGUGUCUGACCUAAAGGGCUGGCCGGUUGGUGCUUGACUUUACACAACUGCUCUUCUUGAUACUGCUAUGACAACUAAAUAUUUUCUGGUGGCAAUUCCACCAAUGAGUGAAGUCAGGAGAAUAUUGUUUUAAUCUGAUUUUAUACUGUGUAGUAACUAUGCCAUAUUCAAUAUGAAUUUAUUUAAAUAAAAGAUAUGUACACGCUUA